rnacentral:lncRNA from 1 species
AGAGCACCUUUCUCUGCCCCUGGGCUCUUAAGAGAGACAGCCAGACAAACAUUAGUGACUGGUUGCAGAGUUGGUUUUAGGGGAUGAGGCAGUUUCUCACCAGAGAAUUCUCUUGCUGCUCACAAUAAUCAAUCAAACUCUGGGACCCGACAACCAAAAUCAACAGAGGCAACAAAUCAGGGUCCCAGGCAAUAACAGGAUCAAAUAUGCACCCUUUUGGAAAACCCUUGAAAUUUACUGUAGUAGUGCUGUUUUGCUGAUAUUCCCAUUCCACCGCCUACACUUCAUUAGAAACAGGACUCUUGCUGCUACUUUGAAAUAACACACUUUUAAGAACAUGCACUAAUUUUUCUCACAAAUAAAACCAAUUAUAUUAAAU